CGCUUUACCUGCGGGGAGACGGGGCUGCCGAGACUCCGCCUGCAUCGGAUAAAGCCCCGGCGGGUGGCCCUCGUUGGAUGUCGCCUCGUCCCGAGUUCCUGCGAGUACAACACGUUAUUUAAACGGGGUACACGCAGUGAUUUCAGCCUCUGUGUGUUGCCACGUCAAGCGUUGUGAUGUCAAAACGAGCGACAGCCAAUUAGGAAGUGACGUGAAGCUCUGCCACAAUGGAGGAAAGUUUGUAACCACAAUGUUGUUACCGGACGCACCUGGAAGACUCCAAAAACCAGCAACCUCCAACGUCUUCAGCUUCCUUUCCAAGUCGGCAACUCUGUUCCCGAGGAUUCUAACGGAGGCACAAGAUGUGUGCCUCUGUUCUUCCUGUCAGCCAUUUUGGAAAUGUGGUCACUGUCGAAUGCCCGUCAGAAGCAUAGAGCUGUGAUGGAAUUUCUUGCUUUUGAAGGGGAACCACCACUAAACACUAAACAUUUUCAAAAUAUGUAUUAGAUUAUAAUGGGUGACGUCAUCAGUGAUGACACGUCAUCGGUGACGUCAUCGGUGGUGACGAGCCGAGCUUCUCUGAUCAGUGCCUCGACCCUGGGACUACUCCCAGGAUGCUAGAGAUGGUCUGCUGCUCCUUUGCUUGGAACAGGUCCCACUUGUUCUUGGCCUUUGAUCCUGGACACCCAUUUUUUGACACAUGCGAGGGGCAUUCGAGUACCUUAAAAUUCCCAUUUAUAACAGAACUUUUCUACUCUUAAAUUUAUUUGUAACUGCCACAUGGACUGCAUAUGGAAAUUAGCUAUAAAACCACAAUCUACUCUUAAGUUGCACGUUUUCUGUAGAUGGUCCCGACGGACAAAUUAACGAAUAAAUGCUCAACCAAACGGGGCGAGUGGUCACCUGUUGGUGUGCCGCUGGUGCUGGAUGACGAGAUUCUUCUCGUGGACGGUCUCCAGCAGCGCCGUGGCCAGCGACUUGAGGUCCGAAAUGGACUGCGGCGUGGCCGGGAGGCUGCAGCCUUGCUCUUCCAGAAGCAUCUCCUCCACUGCAGACCAGACGACAAGGUUGGAAUUUGAAAGCGGCUCAUCCAUCAACUUACUCACAAUUAUAUCAUAUCAGACCUGUGAAUUGGCCAAAGCUAAAGCAGGGGCGAACGAUUACCUUAACAUACCCCUUUUUUCAGUACUAACAUUGAAGUACCCGCCUCUACUGAAAACCGAUACUUGAUCAUGCCCUUUAUUGUGCUAUGCUUAUGAUGAAAAUGUGUUUCAUUCCGAUCAAAUAUACACUUUUUUCAGCAUGAACUUGUCGUUACUGACAUUUUAACUGUUGUCUUGCCACGCAUUUCAGUUAUGUAGUAUCUCAGCCCAAACACUAGAGGGCAAUGUAUCAAACGAAUACAUAUUGUAAUAGAUAAGAGACGACGAUCAUAUGGAUGUAUAAAAAGGAUGCAAUAUUACCUCUG